UGUGCGGCUCGGAUGGGAGGGGUUCAGGACCUCCACCACCGCCGGCCGCCGCCGCGACCUCACCACGGCCACGACCAUGGAGGCUCCGGACACUACGAACCACCUCGGAGCUAAGACCAUACCGCCUCCAUGCCCCGCGUCCAGAGAACCUCCGCGUUCCAGCAUCCCCAAACCUCCCGUUACUGAAACGAGAAGAAGGUAGGAGACGAAAUGGAGGCGGCGGCGGGCAGCAAGCGCGCAUACAGCAUCAUUGGUCCCCACCUACAACGAGCGCCUAAACGUCGUCCUCAUCGUCUACUUCCUGUUCAGUUCAUGAACCUCCCGGAUGUCAACUUUGAAUCAUUAUUGUGGAGGAUGGAAGCACGGAUGGAUCUCACUAUCUCAGGACAUUGUAAAACAAUUGUAGCUGGCAUUUGGUGAGCAUUAUGUUUCAAAUACCUUAUGAACAUGCUCCCUUUUUUCAGACAGGAGUCUCUUAUGUAUGCAGGGUUUUUUUUUUGUUAUCAGUGCCAUGACUUACUGAAAAUUACUGUGAGCUAGACCAAGGCAGCUAGCGCUUGGUGAGCUUAGAACUCUUAUUUAAUCUCUGAAUGGAUUUUUUGCUCUCCUUUUGUGUUAACUAUCAACUGCAAAUAUUCAGGUAUGCUUUCAUGGAUUUAUUUUUCACACACAAGAUGUCCUGGAACUAAUAUCUGCACUGUGUUUAGUUUACGAGGUACUGCUGAUUUAUAGUUGUAACAGAGCUAUACUAAGCCUUGAUUUCAUGAACUAUAUUUCUCUGUCAGCUGAACUAAACAUUAUUACAAUUAACAUUUAGCAAACAACUGCAGACAACUCGGAAUUAUUGCAGAAAGAAAUAUUUUGCCAGAGUAGGGUAAGUAGCAAACAUCACAGGAAAGUAAUCAGAAAACUUCUGUACGAGUAUACUACAACACUGCAACUUGUUCUAGUACAAAUUUUUGCUAAAUGGGGGAAUAGAGGCCAGAGGGAUUCAGAUAACUGGAUGAUAUUCACAAGGUGGGCCAAGAUAAGCACAACCUGUCAGCUUCCAAGAAGCUUUGAUCUUAUAUGAUCACUCCAUCAUGUACAUUAUCUCAUCAGCAUCUUUGAUCAUCUGCAAAGAAGAGAGAAAAAAAUUGGAUGGACUAUUGGUAAAUGGUAUCCUUAUCAGACAGUCCUGAAAUGCUACCAACAAGGCAACAAUACACCAAGUUCGGCAGCACCUUUUUUUUUGUUGUUGUUAUAAGAACAUGAUCGUUUUGCUCUCUGGUGUCUGCUUGAUUUCCUAACCUCUAUUCCUCUUUCAAAACAAACCCUGCAGUGCAAUUUAUCAUCAGACCAAAUGGCAAUAGCUUUCCAGUGCAAUUUCAGCUGAGCAGAAUGACGGCCAGGCCACCCGCGGCGCUGAGCCAGGAUUCGUCUGUGAGAAUGAAGGCUUGAUAAACGGAUUUCGGGAUUUGGAACGUGCGCCGGCCAUCCCUUGCUCAGCCGUCCGCCGCCGAGCAUCGCCACACCAACCCAAGCCCCGAACAUCACCUCGCAGCCGGCACCGGGAGGUACGUGCCUGUUGAAACGGAUGACGGCGAGGCUUCAUACGGACGUGUACGGACCGGGAGGGGGUGGCGGAUCCGGAAGGGGAGCGGGCGACGACGAGGCGGCCGUCGCCGGACGGGAAGGGGAACCAUGAACCGCGGGGGAGAGCGCCGAGGAAGACAGGGGCAGUGAUAGGGGCUAUUUUGAAAAAUAUCACAUCCAGGGGGUUUAUGUAAUAUUUGCAUCGGGGGUGUUUUAGAAAGGGCAGCCUGCUGCUGUCAGAUCGGAAGCGGAUGGGAAGUGGGGUUCAGGAGGUCUCGGAGAUACCGGGCGCCCAGAGAACCUGCGCGUUCCGCCAACCCCAAAGCCCCUGUCACUGAAACGAGAAGAAGGUAAGAGACGAAAUGGAGGCGGCGGCGGGCAGCAAGCACGCGUACAGCAUCGUUGUCCCCACCUGCAACGAGCGUCUCGGCGUGGCCCUCAUCAUCUACCUCCUGCUCAAGAAAACUCCCGUAAGCACCAGUCCUCCCCCGCUCUCCCCCGCCUGCUGUUGAUCUGUGCCGAGCCUGGGCUGUUAAGGUUGCCUCGAUGUCGUCUUUGGUAGAGGGCAUCGCCGGAUUCGUAUUCGUUAGGAUCGAUUGGGUUCCGUGUGCUCGAGGUCGGAACAAAUUGCAUGAGGUGUGCGCGUUCAGUUGAAAUGAAUAUCUUUAGCCUCUUGCUUUUCUGAAAAGAAGAUAACCUACUAGCUCUAAGCUUACUGCAUUCAAGCUGGCAAUCACUUUAUGUUGUUUGUUGAUGUCGUGCACAGCUAUGUGAUGAUAAAACACAGGUGAUCCUGUAUUCCUGUCUUGGUACAGAGCUGAUUUCAUCCAAGUGCUAGUGUGGCUGAUCUGCUUAGUUACACAUGUUCCAAAUUCACUGCUUGUGGAUUGGAUGCACUAAUCUCCUGAAGAUCUCACAAGUAUCGUCUGUCUUAGAAUGAUUUAACUUAGAAUGUCACACAUGAAAUAUGCUUUGGUUAGAAUUAGUGAUGCAAGUUAUAUAUAUUUUGGGUCAUUGGGUUGACCCAAAAAGUUAAUAAAAUAAACUAGAAUGACAUUCUGCGUAAAUAAUUUGUGAGGGGAAAUGAACUAGAGUAGCAUGCCAUCGUAAUUAAUUAGCUGACCCAAAAAAUACCCACUUGCAUCCUUAGUUAGAACCAAAACUGGUCUAGAGGGCUUUGGAGAAUGAACUCAGUUGAGCAAAUGGCAAGCUUUGUGCAACUUUGGGACCUGGUGCAGCAGGUUAACCUCACAAGCGAGCAAGAUACAUUAACCUGGAGGUGGACAAGCCAUGGGGAGUACACAGCCAAAUCUGCCUAUGAAAUGCAAUUUGUUGGAGCUAGCAGGGAUGUGCCGGGCAUGGCAAUCUGGAGAGCCCAGGCAGAGGGAAAGCACAAGUUCUUCGCUUGGCUUCUACUUCAAAGUAGGAUUCUAACCAAGGACAGGCUAGCUGCGAGGGGGUGGCAGGGGAACAGUAAUUGUUCUUUCUGCAGUCUUCAUGAAGAAACUGCAGAGCAUUUGAUCUUGAGUUGUCCUUUUGCACAACAAGUAUGGAGCAGGGUGACAGUUUGGCUGAAUGGGGUCAUGUCCUUCCAAGGUUUUGACCUCCAGUUGGAAGAUUGGUGGAGAGCAAAUUUGCAGAAUCUGUCGAAGCAAGAACAAAGGGUCAAGGCGGCAGUUCUGAUGUAUGUGGCUUGGAACAUUUGGAAGGAAUGAAAUCGAAGAAUCUUUGAGUCAAGAACAAUGACAGCGGUGGAUGUCCUUCGAGAAAUUAAAUUUGAAGUUGGGCUUAGGCAGCAGGUCUGUGGGAGCCCCAAGCUUAGUUAGUUACUAUGUAUCUUUCGCUUUGGUUGAGUUUGAGUUCCACUUGUUUUUUAUGUAAUCGCUCUUUGUAAGAACUCGCUUGCUUUCUCCUCUUAAAUGACAUAGCAGUG